rnacentral:rRNA from 1 species
AGAGUUUGAUCAUGGCUCAGAGCGAANNNUGGCGGCGUGGCUUAGGCAUGCAAGUCGAACGUGAAAGCCCGCAAGGGUGAGUAAAGUGGCGAAAGGGUGAGUAAUAUAUCGAUAACCUACCCUUGAGACGGGGACAACAGCUCGAAAGGGCUGCUAAUACCCGAUGGUUCUGGGUUGAUGCAUUCUUCCCAGCUAAACGGUGGGUCCUUCGGGGCCUUCUGCUCGAGGAGGGGUCGAUAUCCUAUCAGCUAGUUGGCGGGAUAACAGCCCACCAAGGCUUUGACGGGUAGCCGGACUGAGAGGUCGACCGGUCACACUGGCACUGAGACACUGGCCAGACUCCUACGGGAGGCUGCAGUCGAGAAUCUUCCGCAAUGGGCGAAAGCCUGACGGAGCGACGCCGCGUGCAGGAUGAAGGCCCUCGGGUUGUAAACUGCUGUCAAAUGUUAGGAAUGGUUAGUCGCGAAUAACGGCUAACUUGACAAAGGCAUGAGAGGAAGUCACGGCUAACUUCGUGCCAGCAGCCGCGGUAAGACGAAGGUGGCAAGCGUUGCUCGGAAUCACUGGGCAUAAAGCGCGCGUAGGUGGCUUGAUAAGUCGGUGGUGAAAUCCCAUGGCUCAACCAUGGAACUGCCGUCGAUACUGUCAGGCUUGAGGGCGGUAGGGGAGAGUGGAACUCCUGGUGUAGCGGUGAAAUGCGUAGAUAUCAGGAGGACGCCGGUGGCGAAAGCGACUCUCUGGGCCGUUCCUGACACUAAAGCGCGAGAGCUAGGGGAGCAAACAGGAUUAGAUACCCUAGUAGUCC